rnacentral:rRNA from 1 species
GUACGUAGGGUGCAAGCGUUGUCCGGAAUUAUUGGGCGUAAAGAGCUCGUAGGCGGUUUGUCGCGUCUGCUGUGAAAACCUAAGGCUCAACCUUGGGCUUGCAGUGGGUACGGGCAGACUAGAGUGCGGUAGGGGUGACUGGAAUUCCUGGUGUAGCGGUGAAAUGCGCAGAUAUCAGGAGGAACACCGAUGGCGAAGGCAGGUCUCUGGGCUGUAACUG